AAACCAACUGGGAUUGCCUUAGUAACGGCGAGUGAAGCGGCAAAAGCUCAAAUUUGAAAUCUAGUGCCUUCGGUACUCGAGUUGUAAUUUGAAGAAUUUAUCUCCGAACAGUCCUUUAUCUAUGUUCCUUGGAACAGGACGUCAUAGAGGGUGAGAAUCCCGUAUGAUUUUGGAUACUGUUCAUUGUGAGGUUUAUUCGAAGAGUCGAGUUGUUUGGGAAUGCAGCUCUAAGUGGGUGGUAAGUUCCAUCUAAAGCUAAAUAUUGGCGAGAGACCGAUAGCGAACAAGUACAGUGAUGGAAAGAUGAAAAGAACUCUGAAGAGAGGGUGAAAAAGUACGUGAAAUUGCUGAAAGGGAAGGGCUUUAGGUCAGACUUGGUGUUUAAUACUCAGUUCUCCUUGUGGGAGCUGCUCUUGUUUUUCACUGGGCCAAUAUCAGUUUUGGUGGUAGAGCACCUCUGGAAAUGUGGCUAUCUUCGGGUAGUGUUAUAGUCUAGAGACGAUCUACUGCUGGGACUGAGGUCUGCGCUUUUGCUAGGAUAUUGGCAUAAUGACCUUAAGCCGC
rnacentral:rRNA from 1 species